rnacentral:rRNA from 1 species
CAUGCAAGUCGAACGAGGUGGACCCAAAAUAUUAAUGAAGUUUGAAGUGCUUGCACUGAUUCUGAUUAUUGGCUUGGAUUUCCACUAGUGGCGGACGGGUGAGUAACACGUGGGUGACCUGCCUUGAGUCUGGGAUAACUAUUAGAAAUGAUAGCUAAUACCGGAUUAUAUGUAGAUUCGUUUCUACAUUAAAAGGAGCCUUUAAAGCUUCGCUCUUAGAUGGGCCUGCGGUGUAUUAGCUAGUUGGUGAGGUAAUGGCUCACCAAGGCAACGAUGCAUAGCCGAACUGAGAGGUUGAUCGGCCACAUUGGGACUGAGACACGGCCCAAACUCCUACGGGAGACAGCAGUUAGGAAUAUUCGUCAAUGGGGGAAACCCUGAACGAGCAAUGCCGCGUGAACGAUGAAGGCCCUAUGGGUUGUAAAGUUCUGUUGUAUGGGAAGAACGACUAGGAUAGGAAAUGAUCUUAGUGUGACGGUACCAUACCAGAAAGCUCCGGCUAACUACGUGCCAGCAGCCGC